rnacentral:rRNA from 1 species
CCUACGGGAGGCAGCAGUAGGGAAUCUUUCACAAUGGGCGAAAGCCUGAUGGAGCAACGCCGCGUGCAGGAUGAAGGCCUUCGGGUUGUACACUGCUUUUAUAAGCGAGAAAUAUGAUGGUAACUUAUGAAUAAGGAUCGGCUAACUACGUGCCAGCAGCCGCGGUCAUACGUAGGAUCCGAGCAUUAUCCGGAGUGACUGGGUGUAAAGAGUUGCGUAGGUGGCAUAAUAAGUAGCUAGUGAAAUCUGGUGGCUCAACCAUUCAGACUAUUAGCUAAACUGUUAAGCUCGAGACCGUUAGGGGUAACUGGAAGUUCUAGUGUAGGAGUGAAAUCCGUAGAUAUUAGAAGGAACACCAAUAGCGUAGGCAGGUUGCUGGGACGGUUCUGACACUAAGGCACGAAAGCGUAGGGAGCAAACGGGAUUAGAUACCCCGGUAGUC